UUUAAUCUUCAUGAACAAUUUUCUUUUGUAGUAAAUUCUACUUUUCUAAUGAAAACCAGUAAAUGUGUCUUAUGUUAAAUAUGUCUUUCGACUUGCAACAUUUUCUGUGAUAUUUUUCAUAACAAUAGUAGAUGUUUCUUAUGAUAGUUGUAGACAGUCUCAAGAAUCAUUUUGAUUUCUAGAAAGUCUACUUUUGUUUGAUUUUGCUCAUCUGAAUGGUAGAUAUUUCUAAUGAAAACUGUAGAUAUAGAGAGACUUAACGGAGAGUUAACGGUGUUAGUUUGCUUUAACCUGCUAUAGCAAGUCAAAACUUGUUGGGUAUCCAUACCUUAAGGCACACAAGUGGAACCCAAAAAUGAUUGAAGACAUGAAUAGGCUAAUAUAACCUUUAAAAAUUGUCACCUAGCAACCCCCGUAAUGGAACUAACGGCUAAAAGUACUAAAAUUAGGUCGGGGUGAAAACUUGAGGUACCGUUCUGUUGUUAUCAAAACUUGAAAUACUAAAGUUUAUAAAGAAGAAAAUAUGAGGUACCGUUAUAACGAGUUUCUCUUUUUAUUAUAUAAAAAGAAUAACAAAAACAAAAAAUCAAGAGUAUAUUGGUCAUUUCAAGAAUAAAAAUGUUUGCUGUCAGUUUUUUUAACGGAGCUAACGGUUCUAAAUACCAAACUUUGAUCGAGGUAAGAACGUGAGAUAUUUUUUUAAAAUUUUCUGAGUGUGAGAUACCAAAGAUUUGCUUCUUCAAAAUGUGAGACACUGUUUGUACCAUUUUUUCUUACACCAACUAUGUUGUCGAUUAAAGAACACAUAUUCUUCCUUACACAUAAAUUCUUUAUAAAGAGACAAUAUUCUAAUGAACGAAACAUACCGUUAUUUUAUAAAGAGCCUAAACCACUGUUUACAAAGAGGAUACAAAUUUGCAGACCAUUUUUAUUUGCCCACCAAAGUACACACCCUCUUAAUCUAUUAACACAUGUCUUUUCAAAUUGUUUAACUUUAUUCUUAAUAAUAAAAUGGGUAUGUGUCAAUAGAUUAAGAGGGUGGGCAAAUAAAAGUGGUCGACAAAUUUGUAUCAUUCACAAAGACCUGAAAUAAUAUCAGGAGUCUCAACAAACAAACUUUUUUAAAAAAAAAAAAUGUUUUAUUAAUAACUCACACACCCUACAUAUGUCCAUGAGGUUUGAACCCGUGACCUCAAAGUUGUCAGUUAAACACCUUAACCAACAAAGUCACGACUCAACAAACAAAUACUUAAAUAGACACCAACUAGCAACUCUAAUGGCUACUCUAAUUGCUUUAAUAUAACAAUGACACACCGAAAAGAUAACUCGACUACUGCGAAGCAUAAUUAUCAAUAGAAUUGCUUUCCCACUAUGUUACCACCAACAGAUAAAACCGAAGAUAGUAAGUUUCACUCUACCGCUAGGCGGCAACGAUCAUUUGACGAAACAAGCAACUCGUCGCCUUCCUAAAGCAGACAAGACACUAAGAGUACACAACCAGCACGAAGUUCUAUUACCUCUACAAUAAACCUGCAAAGUCUUAUGCCUAGGGCGAGACUACACAAAACAACUAACAUAAACAAACUUACCCAGACCAAGCCUAAGAAAAGGGUCGAAGCCCAAGCUAAGGAAAACGGAAAAACCCUAGCUACCAACCGAGCCACGGUCGCCGCUGCCCCGCCUCGCCAGAUAUGUCGGACCGCCACUAUCAAUCCCACUCUAGAACGCACUACGACCAUGACUAGUCAAAUCAAACGCGAUCCGAAACCAGAUCCGCUUCAUCCCUAGGUCAGGACUAAUUGACCCAAACCAGAAGAGUUGCCGCCACGACCAAAAAUGACCGGAGACCACCCCCCCCCCCCCCCCCCCCCCCCAAACCCCCCAGAUUUGAUGAAAGCCAGCCGCCGAUCCAGCUCCACCAAUGCCAUGAUGACAAUGCCACCACACUCGAUAGUCACCCCGAUCUAUCCC
rnacentral:lncRNA from 1 species